rnacentral:rRNA from 1 species
CCUACGGGGGGCAGCAGUGAGGAAUCUUGGUCAAUGGGCGCGAGCCUGAACCAGCCACGUCGCGUGAGGGAAGACGGUCCUAUGGAUUGUAAACCUCUUUUUUCGGGGAGCAAGAGACGCCACGCGUGGCGUUCCGAGAGUACCCGAAGAAAAAGCAUCGGCUAACUCCGUGCCAGCAGCCGCGGUAAUACGGAGGAUGCGAGAGUUGUCCGGAUUUAUUGGGUUUAAAGGGUGCUCAGGGGGAAGAUCAAGUCAGCGGUAAAAUGGCGAGGCUCAACCUCUUCGAGCCGUUGAAACUGGUUGUCUUGAGUGAGCGAGAAGGAUGAGGAAUGCGUGGUGUAGCGGUGAAAUGCAUAGAUAUCACGCAGAACUCCGAUUGCGAAGGCAGCAUACCGGCGCUCAACUGACGCUCAUGCACGAAAGUGUGGGUAGCGAACAGGAUUAGAUACCCCAGUAGUC